GAUGAACGCUGGCGGCGUGCCUAAUACAUGCAAGUCGAGCGAACAGACGAGGAGCUUGCUCCUCUGACGUUAGCGGCGGACGGGUGAGUAACACGUGGAUAACCUACCUAUAAGACUGGGAUAACUUCGGGAAACCGGAGCUAAUACCGGAUAAUAUAUUGAACCGCAUGGUUCAAUAGUGAAAGACGGUUUUGCUGUCACUUAUAGAUGGAUCCGCGCCGCAUUAGCUAGUUGGUAAGUUAACGGCUUACCAAGGCGACGAUGCGUAGCCGACCUGAGAGGGGGAAGGCCAAAAGAGAAAAUGACAAGGGGCCAAGAACCCUAGGGGAGGCAGAAGGAGGGACGCUCCGGAAAGGGGGGAAAUACUGAGGGAGAAGCGGGGGGGGGGGGAAGAAGGGUUGCGAGAGGAAAAACUGUGUUAAGGGGAAAAAAAAAUUUGGAAAGUAAAUAGGCACGUUUGAAGGGAACAUAUAAAGAAACCCAGGCUAAAAAACGG
rnacentral:rRNA from 1 species